rnacentral:lncRNA from 1 species
GGGGGCCCCUGUUAAUGGGUGGCAGGUCGGUGCGGGCCAGGACGCUGAGCAGGGCCACUGUCGCCCAAUGCAGGUUCCGAGCUGUGGCCCACGCAGAGCCACCACUGUCACACUUGCUCCACCUCCCUGCCACCCGCGCAAUGGAAAGUGUGAAACGCUCAGUCCUGCAAACUUGACCCAGAAGCAUGCGCGCGAGAGGCUGCGAUCAAGAAAUCUGAACCUGAAAAUGCGUGUUACCACUUCUGGUUACGUGUAUCUUUCUGUAUCUACUUACAGUCCUUAGAAGGAAGAAAUUGGUUUGAGGAUGCAUCUCACAGGUCAGUUCCAGAAGGUCAGGAGGUGCAAAUGAGCUGAGCUGUUGAUUCAGUUGAAGUAAUUUUGAUGAGCACAUGCUUGCAUGUGGGUCUACAAUGUGGUUCAUCUCCAUAAAAUCCCAAGCUUUAUGGGUUUGAGAGCAUUAACUCAUGUCUUAGGAACAUCCCACACAGAUUAUUAUAAUUCUUGGUAUGCUGCCUGACCAUCUGCUUACCUACAGGAGUUACAGUCAGAGGAAAUGGCCCCACUCCGAUCUAGGCUCGGAAAAGAAAUAGGAGAAUACCUGAGACUUUGGUACUAUUUUUGUACACCCUGCCCAGCAUAAUAAUAAAAAGUUUGUUAACCU